rnacentral:lncRNA from 1 species
ACCCCACUCACUGAUUCAUGCAGUUCAGGGUGAUAUCUCAGUCUGUUGAAAGUGUCUAACCUCAGCUGAGUCUCUCCUGAGAAAAAUAUGCUGUUCUUGGCCUCUUCUAGAUACUUCUCGCCUUCCAAUGGAACAAUUCUGAGCAUCAGGAUAUUAGAGCACCCAUUUUAUUUGGGUGUGGGCAAGGUUGGACAAAAAUUGGGUCCUGUUGACAGCGAAUCCUAGUUCACUGGUAUGAACUAACUGAAGCUAAAUUAACUUUAUUCUCAAGAUUUCGAGACACUGUGAUUUGAUUUUCCAUCUCUUCCUCCCGUGAAUUUUCAUGCUUCAUUUUGGAUAAAUAGUACUCUCUGGGUUCUACUCGCAUUGGAAUCAUAGCAGAGUGUCAAAGGAAGAGAAUGAGCUCUUACAUCAAUGGGGUUGUUCAAUCACCACUUACUCUUAUUUUAUUUAGCAAGAGAGGACCUACAUUCUGCCUUUUCUUUCUUUUAGCCCCAAUUUUCCACUCAGCUGUUUCUAUGAUUACAAAUAUCUUUUACUCUUUUUUCAUUACACAGUAACCUACACAUUGAAAUGGUCCCUAUUUCAUCUUCCUGUCUUGUCUCUUCCUGUACACCCCUUCCAGAGACUUAAUUCUAGGAACGUUGCUAAGCAACGAUACAUCAUAGCAGCCAGUCACCAAUUACUAAUUGUCCUCAGCACUUUAGCCUCACAAUUCUGGACUGCCUGUGACAAUAGCAUGUAGUUUGAUGGCCCAAAUCAUCGUGGAGGCUUCUUAGCUCAGUGAAGAUCCAGGCAGUUAUAACAACGCACUAUCAUCAUGGCAGUAACAAAGACCUCCGAGCUCACACCCACUGAAUCAUUGCAUGUUUAUAAGCUCAUCAGCUUGGCACUGAUCUCUCCUUCCUGCUCAGGAAAUAAACUGGAGCCAAACAAUUUUAGAAGAAGAUGUCAACUCAGAAGCUUGACUGUGCAUGGAAUACAUAUCAGGCUGGAGGAAAAGCCAAUGCUCCACGGCUACCGACAUAAUGAGAGAGGGCUCAUGUUUAAUCUAUCGGGCCGACGAGAAUUGGUAUGGCGUGCCAGAGUUA